rnacentral:rRNA from 1 species
UACGUAGGCAGCGAGCGUUGUUCGGAGUUACUGGGCGUAAAGAGUGCGUAGGCGGUUUUCUAAGUUUGGUGUGAAAUCUCCCGGCUUAACUGGGAGGGUGCGCCGAAAACUGGAAGUCUUGAGUAUGGGAGAGGUAAGCGGAAUUCCUGGUGUAGCGGUGAAAUGCGUAGAUAUCAGGAGGAACACCUGCGGUGUAGACGGCUUACUGGACCAUAACUGACGCUGAGGCACGAAAGCGUGGGUAGCAAACAGG